rnacentral:rRNA from 1 species
AUGCACGCUGGCGGCGUGCCUAAUACAUGCCAGUCGAGCGAACGGACGAGAAGCUUGCUUCUCUGAUGUUAGCGGCGGACGGGUGAGUAACACGUGGAUAACCUACCUAUAAGACUGGGAUAACUUCGGGAAACCGGAGCUAAUACCGGAUGAUAUUUUGAACCGCAUGGUUCAAAAGUGAAAGACGGUCUUGCUGUCACUUAUAGAUGGAUCCGCGCUGCAUUAGCUAGUUGGUAAGGUAACGGCUUACCAAGGAAACGAUGCAUAGCCGACCUGAGAGGGUGAUCGGCCACACUGGAACUGAGACACGGUCCAGACUCCUACGGGAGGCAGCAGUAGGGAAUCUUCCGCAAUGGGCGAAAGCCUGACGGAGCAACGCCGCGUGAGUGAUGAAGGUCUUCGGAUCGUAAAACUCUGUUAUUAGGGAAGAACAUAUGUGUAAGUAACUGUGCACAUCUUGACGGUACCUAAUCAGAAAGCCACGGCUAACUACGUG